rfam:Brachypodium distachyon strain Bd21 chromosome 4, whole genome shotgun sequence.
AAAGUACUCACUCCGUCCAACAAAUGAUGUCUCAAAUUUGACUAAAUUUGAAUGCAUCUAUACACUAAGUCAUCCAACAAAGGAUGUCUCAAUUUUGACUAAAUUUGAAUGCAUCUAUACACUGAGUCAUGUCUAGAUACAUCUAAAUUUUAACAAACUUGAGACAUCUUUUGUUGUACGGAGGAAGUAGUUA